rnacentral:ncRNA from 2 species
AGACUUUCGCUUGCCUGAGGUGACCGCCGGCCAAGCCGGUGGUUGAAACGGGAAUCCGGUGCGCCCGCCGUCUGGUCGAUGAUCGUGGCAAUUCCGGAGCUGCCCCCGCAACGGUAGGCGAGGUGACCCCAGGACGGGUCGGGACCGGCGAAUGCCACUGUGCCAAGGCACGGGAAGGCGCCGUCCCCGGAUGCAUGAGCGCACCCACCCGCGAGCCCGGAGACCGGCCACUGGCUUGACCCGACA